UGCUAUACAUGCAAGUCGAACGAACUCUGGUAUUGAUUGGUGCUUGCAUCAUGAUUUACAUUUGAGUGAGUGGCGAACUGGUGAGUAACACGUGGGAAACCUGCCCAGAAGCGGGGGAUAACACCUGGAAACAGAUGCUAAUACCGCAUAACAACUUGGACCGCAUGGUCCGAGUUUGAAAGAUGGCUUCGGCUAUCACUUUUGGAUGGUCCCGCGGCGUAUUAGCUAGAUGGUGGGGUAACGGCUCACCAUGGCAAUGAUACGUAGCCGACCUGAGAGGGUAAUCGGCCACAUUGGGACUGAGACACGGCCCAAACUCCUACGGGAGGCAGCAGUAGGGAAUCUUCCACAAUGGACGAAAGUCUGAUGGAGCAACGCCGCGUGAGUGAAGAAGGGUUUCGGCUCGUAAAACUCUGUUGUUAAAGAAGAACAUAUCUGAGAGUAACUGUUCAGGUAUUGACGGUAUUUAACCAGAAAGCCACGGCUAACUACGUGCCAGCAGCCGCGGUAAUACGUAGGUGGCAAGCGUUGUCCGGAUUUAUUGGGCGUAAAGCGAGCGCAGGCGGUUUUUUAAGUCUGAUGUGAAAGCCUUCGGCUCAACCGAAGAAGUGCAUCGGAAACUGGGAAACUUGAGUGCAGAAGAGGACAGUGGAACUCCAUGUGUAGCGGUGAAAUGCGUAGAUAUAUGGAAGAACACCAGUGGCGAAGGCGGCUGUCUGGUCUGUAACUGACGCUGAGGCUCGAAAGUAUGGGUAGCAAACAGGAUUAGAUACCCUGGUAGUCCAUACCGUAAACGAUGAAUGCUAAGUGUUGGAGGGUUUCCGCCCUUCAGUGCUGCAGCUAACGCAUUAAGCAUUCCGCCUGGGGAGUACGGCCGCAAGGCUGAAACUCAAAGGAAUUGACGGGGGCCCGCACAAGCGGUGGAGCAUGUGGUUUAAUUCGAAGCUACGCGAAGAACCUUACCAGGUCUUGACAUACUAUGCAAAUCUAAGAGAUUAGACGUUCCCUUCGGGGACAUGGAUACAGGUGGUGCAUGGUUGUCGUCAGCUCGUGUCGUGAGAUGUUGGGUUAAGUCCCGCAACGAGCGCAACCCUUAUUAUCAGUUGCCAGCAUUAAGUUGGGCACUCUGGUGAGACUGCCGGUGACAAACCGGAGGAAGGUGGGGAUGACGUCAAAUCAUCAUGCCCCUUAUGACCUGGGCUACACACGUGCUACAAUGGAUGGUACAACGAGUUGCGAACUCGCGAGAGUAAGCUAAUCUCUUAAAGCCAUUCUCAGUUCGGAUUGUAGGCUGCAACUCGCCUACAUGAAGUCGGAAUCGCUAGUAAUCGCGGAUCAGCAUGCCGCGGUGAAUACGUUCCCGGGCCUUGUACACACCGCCCGUCACACCAUGAGAGUUUGUAACACCCAAAGUCGGUGGGGUAACCUUUUAGGAACCAGCCGCCUAAGGUGAC
rnacentral:rRNA from 2 species